AUUGUACGUCCAGCUCGAGAGGGUCACUUUUGCUGGAACUGAUGGGGUUGAAGACCUCACACUGAUAACCCCCAGCGUCCUCCCUCCUGACAGGGUCAAUGGUGAGGACGCUGUUGUCCUGGGACAGCUUCUUCCUGUCCUUGAGCAGGAAACUCUGA